ACAACGGAUCUCUUGGUUCCGGCAUCGAUGAAGAACGCAGCGAAAUGCGAUAAGUAAUGUGAAUUGCAGAAUUCAGUGAACCAUCGAAUCUUUGAACGCACAUUGCGCCCUCUGGUAUUCCGGAGGGCAUGCCUGUCCGAGCGUCAUUG
rnacentral:rRNA from 1 species